rnacentral:rRNA from 1 species
AGGGUUUGAUUAUGGCUCAGAACGUACGCUGGCGGCACGCCUAAUACAUGCAAGUCGAACGAAGUAGCAAUACUUAGUGGCAGACGGGUGAGUAACAUGUGGGUAUCUUCCCUAUGGUGAGGAAUAACACGAGGAAACUUGUGCUAAUACCUCAUAAGUCUUUACGGAGAAAGCUUUAUGCGCCAUUGGAUGAGCCCGCACUUGAUUAGUUUGUUGGUGGGGUAAUGGCCUACCAAGUCUUUGAUCAAUAGCUGAUUUGAGAGGAUGAUCAGCCACAUUGGGACUGAGACACGGCCCAAACUCCUACGGGAGGCAGCAGUAGGGAAUCUUGCACAAUGGAGGAAACUCUGAUGCAGCGAUGCCGCGUGAGUGAAGAAGGCCCUUGGGUUGUAAAGCUCUUUCGUCGGGGAAGAAAAUGACUGUACCCGAAUAAGAAGUCCGCA